GGAAUUCGUUUAUACUUCAUCUCAUGGCUUCGAUUCUAAAUUUCUGUUAGUUUCUGACAAUUCAUAUGGCAAGGCUCUGAUGAUGGGAACUACAACUGUAACCACACUUUGAAAGAUCAUACAACUGAGGGAAGAUAUUUAUCUAAACCGUGCUGCUGUUAUUGAUAUAGUAUUAUGACUACAUAGCAUUA